ACCUAAUUCAAUGGAUGAGUCUGGAAGAGGACCAAGUUCAUGGGAAAGAUCAAAAAUUCAGUUUUGAAGAUGUUGAUGAGAAGAUGAGACAAAACCAUGUAUAGAUGCGGAUGAGCUAAUUAAAUAUAUGAGUCUGGAGCUGAAAGGAAAUGCCUUGACAAGAGAAGUAAAUUUGAGGACCAUCAGUAUACAGAUGUACUUGAAUCCAUCUAUGUAAAUGCAAUCACCCUGGGAGGAAAUUUAGAGUGAGAACAGGACUGCGUGGAAAGACAUUAAAGAAGUUAAAGAAAGAAGAACUAACAAAGGCAGGAGAGAAGAAGAGGACGGAGAGGUAGGAGAGAAACCAGUAAUGUGCGAUGGCAUAGAAAUUAAGGAAGUUUCCAAGAUUGAAGAAGGAGGGAGAGAGGGCUAUGGAAGUCACAGGUUGGAGGUGGUGCCCAGAGCCUGGAAUAAACAUUUACCCUAGUGUUCAUCAGAGAGUGAAUGAGGCCUGGGAAUCCAAGACUUGCCAAAGAUUAUUCUGCCUGGAACAGG
rnacentral:lncRNA from 10 species